CCUACGGGAGGCAGCAGUGGGGAAUAUUGCACAAUGGGGGAAACCCUGAUGCAGCGACGCCGCGUGAGUGAAGAAGUAUUUCGGUAUGUAAAGCUCUAUCAGCAGGGAAGAAAAUGACGGUACCUGAUUAAGAAGCCCCGGCUAACUACGUGCCAGCAGCCGCGGUAAUACGUAGGGGGCAAGCGUUAUCCGGAUUUACUGGGUGAAAAGGGAGCGUAGACGGCAGAACAAGUCUGGAGUGAAAUGCCGGGGCUUAACCCCGGAACUGCUUUGGAAACUGUGCAGCUAGAGUGUAGGAGAGGUAAGUGGAAUUCCUAGUGUAGCGGUGAAAUGCGUAGAUAUUAGGAGGAACACCAGUGGCGAAGGCGGCUUACUGGACUGUAACUGACGUUGAGGCUCGAAAGCGUGGGGAGCAAACAGGAUUAGAUACCCCAGUAGUC
rnacentral:rRNA from 1 species